GAAAACCCCCAGAAUUAUGAAUUCGAAAAGGAGCAAGACUGACAAAUAAUGAAAUAGUCCAUUAUAACCAAAUGCUCCGUGUUUCAAUUUUCCGAGAAAAAGAAAAGAACUUCGAAGUGGAUUUCCAAGAAAAGCUCUAGGUUUUCCUUCCCUUUCCGGCAAAGCCAGCAACCAAACGGCGAAAAUACAAAAGAAGAGACACGCUAAGAAAUGUACCUGUUAACGGAUUUACAAAUACGCCAU
rnacentral:misc_RNA from 1 species